rnacentral:lncRNA from 1 species
AUGUUGAGCCCCCUUCGAAGUACAGGCCUCUGGAAGCUCUUCAUCGACCUGCUGCUACGUUUACACCUGAAGCUCUUCAUCAGUCUGCUGCUACGUUCACACCUGAAGCUCUUCAUCAGUCUGCUGCUACGUUCAUACCUGAAGCUCUUCAUCAACCUGCUGCUACGUUUACACCUGAAGCUCUUCAUCAACCUGCUGCUACGUUCACACCUGAAGCUCUUCAUCAGUCUGCUGCUACGUUUACACCUGAAGCUCUUCAUCAACCUGCUGCUACGUUCACACCUGAAGCUCUUCAUCAGUCUGCUGCUACGUUCACACCUGAAGCUCUUCAUCAACCUGCUGCUACGUUCACACCUGAAGCUCUUCAUCAACCUGCUGCUACGUUCACACCUGAAGCUCUUCAUCAACCUGCUGCUACGUUUACACCUGAAGCUCUUCAUCAACCUGCUGCUACGUUUACACCUGAAGCUCUUCAUCAGUCUGCUGCUACGUUCACACCUGAAGCUCUUCAUCAGUCUGCUGCUACGUUCACACCUGAAGCUCUUCAUCAGUCUGCUGCUACGUUCACACCUGAAGCUCUUCAUCAACCUGCUGCUACGUUCACACCUGAAGCUCUUCAUCAGUCUGCUGCUACGUUCACACCUGAAGCUCUUCAUCAGUCUGCUGCUACGUUCACACCUGAAGCUCUUCAUCAGUCUGCUGCUACGUUUACACCUGAAGCUCUUCAUUGACCUGCUGCUACGUUUACACCUGAAGCUCUUCAUCAACCUGCUGCUACGUUUACACCUGAAGCUCUUCAUCAGUCUGCUGCUACGUUCACACCUGAAGCUCUUCAUCAGUCUGCUGCUACGUUUACACCUGAAGCUCUUCAUCAACCUGCUGCUACGUUUACACCUGAAGCUCUUCAUCAACCUGCUGCUACGUUUACACCUGAAGCUCUUCAUCAACCUGCUGCUACGUUUACACCUGAAGCUCUUCAUCAACCUGCUGCUACGUUUACACCUGAAGCUCUUCAUCAACCUGCUGCUACGUUCACACCUGAAGCUCUUCAUCAGUCUGCUGCUACGUUCACACCUGAAGCUCUUCAUCAGUCUGCUGCUACGUUUACACCUGAAGCUCUUCAUCAGUCUGCUGCUACGUUCACACCUGAAGCUCUUCAUCAGUCUGCUGCUACGUUCACACCUGAAGCUCUUCAUCAGUCUGCUGCUACGUUCACACCUGAAGCUCUUCAUCAACCUGCUGCUACGUUCACACCUGAAGCUCUUCAUCAACCUGCUGCUACGUUUACACCUGAAGCUCUUCAUCAACCUGCUGCUACGUUCACACCUGAAGCUCUUCAUCAACCUGCUGCUACGUUUACACCUGAAGCUCUUCAUCAGUCUGCUGCUACGUUCACACCUGAAGCUCUUCAUCGACCUGCUGCUACGUUUACACCUGAAGCUCUUCAUCAGUCUGCUGCUACGUUCACACCUGAAGCUCUUCAUCAGUCUGCUGCUACGUUCACACCUGAAGCUCUUCAUCAACCUGCUGCUACGUUCACACCUGAAGCUCUUCAUCAACCUGCUGCUACGUUUACACCUGAAGCUCUUCAUCAACCUGCUGCUACGUUCACACCUGAAGCUCUUCAUCAACCUGCUGCUACGUUCACACCUGAAGCUCUUCAUCAGUCUGCUGCUACGUUCACACCUGAAGCUCUUCAUCAGUCUGCUGCUACGUUUACACCUGAAGCUCUUCAUCAACCUGCUGCUACGUUUACACCUGAAGCUCUUCAUCAACCUGCUGCUACGUUUACACCUGAAGCUCUUCAUCGACCUGCUGCUACGUUUACACCUGAAGCUCUUCAUCGACCUGCUGCUACGUUUACACCUGAAGCUCUUCAUCAACCUGCUGCUACGUUUACACCUGAAGCUCUUCAUCAAGCUGCUGCUACGUUCACACCUGAAGCUCUUCAUCAGUCUGCUGCUACGUUUACACCUGAAGCUCUUCAUCAACCUGCUGCUACGUUUACACCUGAAGCUCUUCAUCAACCUGCUGCUACGUUCACACCUGAAGCUCUUCAUCAACCUGCUGCUACGUUCACACCUGAAGCUCUUCAUCAACCUGCUGCUACGUUCACACCUGAAGCUCUUCAUCAGUCUGCUGCUACGUUCACACCUGAAGCUCUUCAUCAACCUGCUGCUACGUUCACACCUGAAGCUCUUCAUGAGAUGA